GAUUUAAGCUGGAUGUGUCAAAACUUCACAAUAACUUCGGAGCUGGAAUUGGACAGGAGUUCUGUUUGAUGGCUUCCUGGAAGGAGAGAUCGGCUGAGCUAAUGUUGUCAACAACUUUUCUCCUGCUAUUAACUUUUUUGCUUUUCUUUAUAAAGAAAGUAUUUCUAUCA